CAGCACCUCAAGUGGUCAGGAUGAUUAUUGGGCCUAAAGCAUCCGUAGACGGCUCUGUAAGUUUUCGGUUAAAUCUGUACGCUCAACGUACAGGCUGCCGGGAAUACUGCAGAGCUAGGGAGUGGGAGAGGUAGACGGUACUCGGUAGGAAGGGGUAAAAUCCUUUGAUCUAUUGAUGACCACCUGUGGCGAAGGCGGUCUACCAGAACACGUCCGACGGUGAGGGAUGAAAGCUGGGGGAGCAAACCGGAUUAGAUACCCGCGUAGUCC
rnacentral:rRNA from 1 species